rnacentral:tRNA from 1 species
GGAGGGAUGGCCGAGUGGUUGAAGGCGGCGGUCUUGAAAACCGCUUCACGAGAAAUCGUGACGGGGGUUCGAAUCCCUCUCCCUCCGCCA